ACGGCCACUUCCCUUUGAAACACCGGUUCCCGUAGGACCACCGAAGUUAAGCAACGUCGAGCCUGAUCAGUACCUCGACAGGUAACCACUUGGGAAUACCAGGGGCUGUAAG